rnacentral:misc_RNA from 1 species
GUAGGUGAACCUGCGGAAGGAUCAUUAACAGAGUUGGGGGUGGGUGGUUGUUGGGGUUAGUUGGUUGGUCUAAUCGUCUAUCCUAUCUCACCUAUCCUCGAUAAACGCAAGGCAUGAUGCUGCAUCUUGCCUUGUUUUCACGCUUGUCUUUGUUUGUCAAAAAUGCAUAUUGAAUGAAAGAUAACUUUUAACAAUGGAUCUCUUGGCUCUUGCAUCGAUGAAGAACGCAGCAUCUGACUGACUGGAAGCU